CCUUGCCAGCCCGCUCAAGAAACUUAAGGAAUUGACGGGUCCCCGCACAAGCGGCGGAGCAUGCGGCUUAAUUCGAUGCAACCCGAAGAACCUUACCUGGGCUUGACAUUAUGGGAAAAGCCGUAGAGAUACGGUGUGCAUUAGCGUCCAUAACAGGUGGUGCAUGGCUGUCGUCAGCUCGUGUCGUGAGAUGUUGGGUUAAGUCCCGCAACGAGCGCAACCCUUGUCCUAUGUUGCCAGCGGUUCGGCCGGGGACUCAUAGGAGACUGCCGGGGAUAACUCGGAGGAAGGUGAGGACGACGUCAAGUCAUCAUGCCCCUUAUGUCCAGGGCUGCACGCAUGCUACAAUGGUCGGUACAACGGGCUGCGAUCCCGCGAGGGUGAGCGAAUCCCUAAAAACCGGCCUCAGUUCGGAUUGGAGUCUGCAACUCGACUCCAUGAAGUCGGAGUCGCUAGUAAUCGCGGACCAGCUAAGCCGCGGUGAAUGCGUUCUCGGGGAUU
rnacentral:rRNA from 1 species